rnacentral:rRNA from 1 species
UACAGAGGUGGCAAGCGUUGUUCGGAAUUACUGGGCGUAAAGGGCGCGUAGGCGGUCUUGUAAGUCUCGUGUGAAAUCCCUCGGCUUAACUGAGGAACUGCACGGGAUACUGCAUGACUUGAGAUCGGGAGAGGGAAGCGGAAUUCCGGGUGUAGCGGUGAAAUGCGUAGAUAUCUGGAGGAACACCGGUGGCGAAGGCGGCAUCCUGGACCGGUAUUGACGCUGAGGCGCGAAAGCUAGGGGAGCAAACGGG